rnacentral:rRNA from 1 species
UACAGAGGUCUCAAGCGUUGUUCGGAUUCAUUGGGCGUAAAGGGUGCGUAGGUGGCGUCGUAAGUCAGGUGUGAAAUCUCGGGGCUUAACUCCGAAACUGCAUUUGAUACUGCGGUGCUUGAGGACUGGAGAGGAGACUGGAAUUUACGGUGUAGCAGUGAAAUGCGUAGAGAUCGUAAGGAAGACCAGUGGCGAAGGCGGGUCUCUGGACAGUUCCUGACACUGAGGCACGAAAGCGUGGGGAGCAAACAGG